rnacentral:rRNA from 1 species
UGAGAGGCAUCUCUUAAAUAUCAAAGGUGAGCCAGUACAGGAUGGACCCGCGUCUGAUUAGCUAGUUGGUAAGGUAACGGCUUACCAAGGCGACGAUCAGGAGCCGACCUGAGAGGGUGAUCGGCCACAUUGGAACUGAGACACGGGCCAAACUCCUACGGGAGGCAGCAGUGGGGAAUAUUGCACAAUGGGCGAAAGCCUGAUGCAGCA